rnacentral:lncRNA from 1 species
UUUUGAUUACAUUUGUAAUGCCCCAGUUGGACUGUUUUGCUGAUUCUCGAGAUGCAACUGAGUGAUCUUCUUUUCUUGCUCAAGAAGUCGGGAAAUCUCGUCAGGAAUCCCUUCCACAUCAUCUUCCUCUGUUUCGAAUACAGGGAAUUCAAAAUUGGGAGAUGGCGUUGGAUCAUUAUGUUCAAUGGGUUUAAGAAUCAACCUACAUAACGAUUUUGAAUAUAAAAG